rnacentral:lncRNA from 1 species
UUCGAUGGCGGUGUUUAGAUGGCGGAAAUCCGCCAUCUAAACUAUCCCGCCCAAAAUUUCGAAUCUCCCCCAAAUGAUAACCCGAUUACCCGAUUAAAUUGACUUAAGAUGGCGGAUUUCCGCCAUCUUAAGUUUUCGGGGACUCGGGCGGAAAAAAGCCCGCCCAAAUUUCGAUUGGGCGGACUUUCACUUAAGUGCUGGCGGCACUUAAGUGUACUUACAUGGCGGAAAUCCGCCAUGUAAGUUUUGGGGUUUAUUAAAA